rnacentral:rRNA from 1 species
AUGGAGCGAUUUAUUUUUGUGAGAAAGCUUGUGUGCAUGGAGCACUUGCCGAGGGAGGUCACAAGGUUCCAAAACGCAGGACGUACCGGACGUACGUGGGCAGCCCAAGGUGCGGAUCCACGCACACCGCAAAAGCGCGGAAAAAGAGUGGCGGAAAAACACACGAAAGCAGCCCGGACGGGGCGAACGCGAGGCGCACCACCCGAGCCGGCGGCCCCCACCCGCUGUCCAAUCCCUCGAUCCGACGGCCCGCGCUCGCACCGACCGGCCGCGGAGACACGGAGCCGCCCCCGCACCCCUGGAGCCUGGAACCUCUUCCGCUUUACCUCAGCACGCGCGCCAGUUAACCCAUCACGGUCACCCGACCGGCCCGGCCCUGGUUAG